rnacentral:lncRNA from 14 species
CCUGGAGGCAGGACCUGAAACAGAGACUAUGGAAGAACACGUCUUACUGACUUUCUCUCCAGGCUCACGCUCCGCGUCCUUUCUUAUGCCUCCCAGGAUUGUGAUGGCCCCACAUGGAUCAAGAAAGCAGCCCCCAUAGACUUGCUCAUGAGCCAGUCUGAUGGAGGCAGUUCUUCAGCUGAGGACCCCUCUUCUUCCUUGCGUAACUUGUGUCAAGAAGAUACAGUCUAGCCGGCACAACCAUCAAUGGUGACCCAUCACCAUACGGCAGUGUGUAGAAUGUGGCAGAACGUGCCAAGUGAAGAGCUUCCACACAUGUUGGUCACCCUCCAUGACACAUUUGGAGACUGUGGCUUUGAAGAGCAGGUCCUUUACCAAGGCACGAUGUUCUGCGUAUAGCACACGGCACAGGAAUGAGGAGUCCUGAGGGGACAUAAGGUGAAAGGAGAGUGAACUUCCACAUGCCAGUCCAAAAUAUGUCACUCCUAAGCAGGGGCAUCUGUGCCCCAAGGAAGGACACAGAAAGGGGUAGCUUGGAAGCGAUGCUGGGAAACGCACAUUUACUAAGGGGCAGCUGAUGGGGAGCCAGUCUGGCUUGUCUCUGCAAACCUAAUCAAGGAUGCCAGUAAAGAGUGAAGACAAGAGGUAUGUGUG